GAAUCACGUAACAUUUACAAUCCACUUCUAUGCAAGGCAGUCUUGUGCUAAAGAAUUGCUAAAAGAGACAGUGCCUUUUGAAUGCACCAUAUGUGUUAUUCAAAAGCAGUGGCAAGUCGAAGCUCCUAUCUUAAUCCUCGCUUGUUAUUAUGGAAGCCUGGAUCCAACUUUUGAAGGAUAAGAGAUUUCACAGAUCAUUGAUUACAAAGGCAAUAGCCAACACCAACACCCCAGACAUGAGAGGGAUGCUACCUUCGAUGCAGCCUCCCUGCCCGGCCCCAGUCAAGCCACCGAUGACUGCUACUACCUGAGCAAGCCCAGGAGUGGGACUGGUGGCUCUGUAAGAAGAGGAGGAGGCACCUGAGCUGGCACACUCAGCUCCUUCACCAUGUGAUGCCCUGCACCACCUCAAGACUGCAGAGUCCUUACCAACAAGACGGCACUCACCAAAUGCAGCCCUUAGACCCUGGACUUCUCAGUCUUUUUAACUCUGAAGACUUCGCCUUAUAUGUCAAUAGAGAAAGUAAGAAUGGCCAGUGGGAAAUUCUUCAGCCCUUCACCACCGCUUCUACAUACAAAGAAGAUUCUAAAGAAAAUGACCUCAAUCAGAUGGCAGCAUAGGAGUUUUUGGUGCUCAUCCCCUAACGGAAGCAUCAGUUUGAAUAAGCAUCCAUGCAGGCUGUACCUUCAUGAGAGCUAAGGAUUCCAGGUGAGAGAUUAUAUCACCUCAAUUGAACACAGCAAUAAGAAAAGAAACACUGAAGAUAGCAGAGGACACAAUUUCACUUUACCCAUGUCACCCCCUCCUCCAAGCCCAUGUAGUGCAGCUCAGAGAGACAUACCCUUCUCAUGGGGAAAAGAGAGUGAAAUGAGUACCCAACUUCACCACCAACCCCAGGACCAGACCCAGAAAAUCCCAACACCGAGCCAGCCCCUGUGGAUACAAGCUCCAGGCCCACCUGCCCACUGACCCAGACACUGGGCCAGCCUGCCCAAGAACUCCAAAAGCAAGCUUGCUCGUGGUCCCUGCCAGCUAACCUACCUCGAAUCUCUAGAUGAGCUGACAGAUGAAGGGCUCUUUCUUCCAAAGCCAGUCUGUAAAGAUUGGCAAAGGUGCCUACUUCUCCCAGUGCAUAAACACCCAAAGCCAGGCCACAGAAACAUGGAACGUCAUCACUGACUCUUCCUUUUCUCAGGACAUGUCACCAUUUCAUGAAUUUAAAAAAUCUGUCUAUUCUUUCACUAAAAUGUGUCUUAAAUCCACGCACUUCUCUUCAUUUUCAUUGCCAACAAGAUAGCCUAAGUCACUAACAUCUCUUUUCUAGAUUUCUCUAUGAGCCUCUUAACUGAGCUA
rnacentral:lncRNA from 1 species